rnacentral:rRNA from 1 species
CGCAUCUGUGCAUGCAGCAUAUCAAUAAGCGGAGGAAAAGAAACUAACAAGGAUUCCCCUAGUAACGGCGAGUGAAGCGGGAAGAGCUCAAAUUUGAAAUCUUAAAGGGUUUCCCUUUACGAAUUGUAGUUUAAAGAAGUGUUUUCUGUUGAGGUUUUGGUAAUAGUUCUUUGGAAUAGGACAUCAUAGAGGGUGAGAAUCCCGUAUUUGACCUUUACUUUCAACUUUGUGAUACACUUUCAAAGAGUCGGAUUGUUUGGGAAUGCAGUCCAAAAUGGGUGGUAAAUUUCAUCUAAAGCUAAAUAUUGGCGAGAGACCGAUAGCGAACAAGUACCGUGAGGGAAAGAUGAAAAGAACUUUGAAAAGAGAGUUAAACAGUACGUGAAAUUGUCAAAAGGGAAGCGUUUGACACCAGUGUUGUUUUUCUGAAAAUCAAUUAAAGAACUGUUUAUGCUAAGCUGUUUAGACUUUAUCAGCUAAUCUGUUUAGUUUUGAGCUUUUCUUUAAUGCACUUUUCAGUUAACAAGUCAACAUCAAUUUCUUUUGCUGUAAAAAAGCUUGAGGAAGGUGGCUUGAGAUUCGUCUUAAGUGUUUAUAGCCUCUUGCCUAUGCAGUCGGAGAGAUUGAGGUCUGCAGCGUAGAUCCUUCGGGGCUAAAUGCAUUUGUGCUAAGUUAUAGCAUUUUAUAGACAACUUGUUGACUAUGAUUUGUCUUGUAGCUUACUCGCUUAUGUUAUUUUACCUACGCUUAGGAUGUUGAACGCGCACAGAGUCUC